UGGGCAGCUGUGAGAGGGCCUUUGCUAAGCCUGGUGUCCCUGGGGGCGCGGGCCCUCCCCUAGGCCCGGCAGCAGCAGGAACUGCCAGCUCCUUCCUGUAGGCCGGCAGUGUGAGGAGUCGCCUUGGUCGCCGAGGUGUCACCUGGGGAGGCUGCUGCUUGGCGCUGGAGACGCGGCGAGAGGAAGCAGAACGGGAAGCACGCACACAAACAACAGCUCCCACUCCCCGUGCCCAGGCACCUUCGAGGUGGGGGUGUGCGCUGCCCAGUCACACGGACCCUCUGCCACUCCAGUUCAACUUUCCUUUUUUGGAGUGACGUCUCAGCAGAUUCGCUUCUACCAUCUGGCAACAUCUGAGAACCCCCAGGGAGAGAGGGGAGCGGCGGCUGCGGCGGAGAGGCUGCUGCGGCUUCCAGGGACACCCCCCGCCCCGCGCGUCCGCCCCUCCAAGGAGCGGUGCCGGGCCUUCUGCAGCCUGGGCCCCUCUGCACCCCUCAGGCCUUGAGUUGGGAGUAUUUGGGGGCCCCCUAUGGAAAGGGAAGUGUAUGAGGGGUGCAGUUUGGAACUGGAGGGAUCAUAGGUCAGGGGCCCCCUCUCUUCCGGCCCCAUCCGCCCGCCCCCUGGCGCCCACCCAGACUGCGUGGGAACCCCCAUGGACAGGCCAAGCCUGAGGGAGGCCCCUGGCUCCCUCCCCGGGCCCUGGGGUGGGAGUGGACCGAGCCCUCACCAGCCUCCCGAAGCUGCUCUCUGGAGUCACCUGAAAUCACCCCUGGAUUUGCAUCUCCGUGAGACCUGCUCUGGGGUGGUGCAGGAGGAACCGCCGGGGCUCUUUCCUGUGCAAGGCUGUUGCCUUCCACGGCCCAGGGAACAGUACCCAUGCUCUGAGCCUGUGUUACAGACAGAGAAACUGAGGCGCGGGAGAUUAAGAACCUAAGCCCUGCAGCUGACCCGGGCAGCUGGUGCUCCGGCCUGGGUGUCCCAGCCUUGACUCAAGGAGGAGCAGGAAGCCCUGCAGCAUCCCCCCACUCGCUCCCAGGGCCACGCUUUCUGCAGCCCCGCACCCCCUUGAGCAACUCGAGCCCCCAGCAGCUUGGAACAACUGCCAGAGAGCACCGUGCCCCUCCCAGGAACCCGGACUGCAGUUGCCGGUAAUAAAUAAUCACUGACAGCGA